GGAGGUUACUGCUAUCGGUGUUCGCCUAACCCAUGCGAGUCAUAUGUUCUUCGUGAACAUGGCGUACUGCUCAGUAACACGUGAAUAACCUGCCCUUGGGACCGGCAUAACCCCGGGAAACUGGGGAUAAUUCCGGAUACCGCAUAUAUGCUGGAAUGCUUUAUGCGUGAAAUGGAUUCGUCUGCCCAAGGAUGGGUCUGCGGCCUAUCAGGUAGUAGUGGGUGUAAUGUACCUACUACCCUACAACGGGUACGGGUUGUGAGAGCAAGAGCCCGGAAAUGGAUUCUGAAACAUGAAUCCAGGCCCUACGGGGCGCACCAC
rnacentral:rRNA from 1 species